GACGAACGCUGGCGGCGUGCUUAACACAUGCAAGUCGAACGGGCCUGUCUUCUUUUUUGGGGGUGGGUUGAGUGGCGAACGGGUGAGUAUCACGUGAGUAACCUGCCCUUCGGUCCUGGAUAACCGCUUGAAAGGGCGGCUAAUACGGGGUGGUCCGGUUGGUCCGCAUGGGCUGGUCGGGAUAGAUUCACUGUUUUUGGUGUUUCGUCGGGGGAUGGGCUCGCGGCCUAUCAGCUUGUUGGUGGGGUGAUGGCCUACCAAGGCGGUGACGGGUAGCCGGCCUGAGAGGGUGGGCGGCCACACUGGGACUGAGAUACGGCCCAGACUCCUGCGGGAGGCAGCAGUGGGGGGUAUUGCACAAUGGGCGGAAGCCUGAUGCAGCGACGUCGCGUGAGGGAUGGAGGCCUUCGGGUUGUGAACCUCUGUUUCCGGUGGUGAAGGCCCUGUCCGUGUGGUGGGGUUGACGGUAGCCGGGGAUGAAGCGCCGGCUAACUACGUG
rnacentral:rRNA from 1 species